UCCCAAUAAAUAAGAACAUUAUUAUCACAAUAUUUCACCGACUUCUAGAGAGAGAGAGAGAGGAUAUCCUCAACUACUCCAAGAACUGCUUCCAAGCCUUCUCUACAAGUUUCUACAAGAGUAGAGAGAAAGAACGUGUCGGAGAAGGACAAACAUACAGAAGACUGGUUGCGAAAACUCAAACAUGUAUUGGAUGAAACUCGGGACAUCAUGGAACAUUGCAGCUUUGAUGAUCUUCGUCUUCUGAUCAAAAAGCUCUCCUCUCCAACCUGUAUCAAGUUGAUUACCUAGAUCCGGGUUGAAGAGGAGGCAUUUCGCCUUUUGACUUGAAGGAGAAGAUCUUCAAAUGUGCAUUCAUCCAUGAUGUCUUGAACCUCAUAUGCCACGACUUUGAGUUUCCGCAACCAAUCUUCAGUUUGUUUGUUCAUCCUUCUCUCCUGCAAGGUAUUUCUCUAAGCAUCUUUGAGUUCGUCACUAAUUGAAAUAGUGUGCUUGAUAGCUUUUGAACCACAUUCUUAAAAUUCUAAAACAAGGAGAAUUCAUCCUUAAUGAGAGGUGCCAAAUUUGAAAACAAACCAAUGAGUUGAAUAAACUUCCAAGUUAAGUUGUUUGUUUAGUGAGAAAAUGAUAAUGCAUUUCCAUUCAAUAUAAAACAAUACAAACAAUACAAACAUUACACAUUCUAUUUGUUAAUUAAUGGUUGUCUCAUGUACUAUAGCAAGAAGUUUACCUCAAAUUUUAAAAUCAAUUUAAGAAUGCUUGUUGUAUGCAUACUUAUUAUUAAUGAUUGUGGUGAUUCGAUGUAUCAUGUAAUCUCUUUUUAAUUUAAUUAAUUUGAAGGGGUCAACAAAAUAGAA